AGCUUUCUGGAUACGUGCAGAGAUUUUGUCAGACACCAACCUUUUAGGGCUGAUCAAACAUCCGAGAUAAGUGAAGUC
rnacentral:pre_miRNA from 1 species